UUCAUCCCUUUUCUCACCCCAUUUUUCUGGACUUAAAGGGGCAUUUUGAAGAUGUUGAAAAGCCACUGCCUUUACCCUCUAAAGCACCAAGAGAAAAAAAGGAGUUGGAUGAGAAUAAGAGCAAAAAGGGUCUGGCUGAAAUUUAUGAAGUUCGUAAUUCUUGGUUUGUUGACAUACAUAACUGAGUUUGUUGUUUCUCAUUUUUUUAUAUUGUUUCCUUGUGGCAUUGAUUUUUAGUAGUCCUCCAAAAAUAAGAGGUAAAUAAUAUUUAAAAUCAAGAUAAGAAGAAGAAAAUAAUUGCGAGGGAAUAACAACAUUACUGAUUAAUAGUGUAUCUUAUCUUGUUCUAUGUCACUACUAAUAGAGCUUGG